rnacentral:lncRNA from 1 species
GCAAUUCAUGGCUACAGGGAAUCUGAAAAGGAAAAUUGGUCGAAGCCUUGUAUGAUGGUGUUCAAAAGAAUGAAGGAUGCCUCCUUUGACUCUACACAUGCACUGUUGCCUUACGUACAUGUUUUGGAUCUGGAUUCAAAGGGGUAGGUGUAUUACAGAAUUUUCAUGUAUGCUCGCAUCGAUAAUAUUGUGAUCAUAUCGAAAUAAUUUAAUAAUUAAUAAAACACAAAAGUAAUCAUGACUGCAUGAUAUCUUGUACAAAAUUUUGUUAAUCGAUAUAUUGUACGCUCAAUUACAUGCACAUGUUUUCAAAAUAACGGGUUCGUUUUAUUGUUAUAACCCAAAUUGAAGUUUACUAUCCUUUUUUAAUUGGAUAUCUGUAUUUUUAUAACUUUUCAAUAAUUUUUGCGAAGGCCAAAAAAUCACUAUCUGGUGGAUAGCUCUAUUCGACCUUCGUAUGACCAACCAACCCCUGGAAAUUGUCUUGGAUCAGACUAUAUUAAUUAUACUUAAUUGGACUGGAAAGAAAAUAUCCUUAAUUGGACGGGAAGACGCCUUUUUGUUGUACUAUUUAUUAUGUCAAUAUAAAUGCAUUUCAUCAAAUUCAUUUUCAGAUUCAUCAAGCCUCAUGUUGAUAGUGUGAAGGUGCAGUGUGUUAUUAUUCACUGUUUUUCUUGCAUGCGACACACAAAUUCUGGAAAAUUUUAGAAUGCAUUUUUUCUAGUCGAUCGGUAUAUACUUCAUGUGAUCCUUAUUAUAGUGUAUGAGAUUGAUCCCUACUACCACCACAUGACCCCACCCCUAGCCCACAUUUUCUUUAAGUAUAUUUUGUUGCUCACGUAAUUUUUGCAAUUCAUAUAGACCUUAUUCAUAAAUCGUGAUCGAGACAUCGUAUCCUAGGAUACGGGCGAAAACGCGGGAAAACAAGCGAAAACUGCUUGACAGGCGAAAUUCAGAUGCUAUUGUAUCGAUUUAACGGCUUGUUUCUUGUUACUUAUCAUCGAUUCAUAACGACUUUUGCCGGUGAUGUAUUUUAAGACUUUGUCCCAAGACGAAAGCUUCAAACGAGUAUAUUAUAAAAACAACCUGUUUUUCUCCCGUUUUUUUGUGUGGAAAAUAUGACAAUGUAGCGAACAGUGUUUAUCCCGGAGCGAAAAACAGUAUUUUACUCAGAUUUUAACGUCAAUAUAUAGGUUUUUCCGUAAAAAAUCAAGACAACUAUGGAAUGAUAGUAUAAUUUUUGGAGUUGGACACUAAUUUCUCAAAUUCAUUAACAAUUCAUGAGCAAUUCAGCCAAUGAUAAUCACCUAUUUGAUCACAAGAUGCCAUUUGGAUAACCCGGUGAAACUUGAUGAAAGUCACUAAUGUUUUCAUCAAAUAUCUUAAUUACGCAUGCAAAAUUACUUGAAUAGAAUUCCUAAUUACUUUAUGCUUGGUUAAUUUUCUAUGCUUGGUUAGUUUUCAUACAUUGUUUUCUCGUGUUUGGAUAUCCCGGUGAAACACUCGCUCUCGUUGUUCAUAUAUUACAUGAAAGAAAACAAGAGGUCAAAAAUCGCAAGAGAACGGUUAAAUGUUAUUGAUUCGUACGGAAAAAUAUGAACUAUGCUUGUGACUCGAUGACAUUCUGCAAAUAGCUUACAAGUUUAAAAAAUAAAGGCUACAUUACUUGAGUGAGAUUUAAUCUUAUUUCUUCAACAACAGUUUCAUAUUUCUUACGAUUUUGGUGUUGUAGAUGUUUUGUAGCCUUGUUGGUUGAUUGUUUGUUUUGCCAUUUUGACCAUACAAACUACGACAAUACAAAGGUUUCCUUUUCCGAUUGACUCCAGUAUCUUUUAUGUUAAGUAGCAUGUUUAUAUUUUCUCAGAAGUAUUAUUUCAACUUUCAAGCUCAGUUUUAUAGAUAAUAUUUUCGAAAAAAGCCGUUAACAUUUUCGGAAAAAGCUUGUCAAUUUUCCCGCGUUUUUCCCCGUGUCCUAGGAUACGAGGCCUCGAUCACGAUUUAUGAAUAAGAUCUAUUUACUUGUAUUUUGUCAUUUUAAUUUGUGGUUUAUGUAUCCUUUCGAUAUUGAUUGGCUGAGAGAGUGCAAUUUUUUUGAAAUUGUGCAAUUACAAGACAUGUAGGACCACAGCCUUAAAACGAGGCAGGGAAAAUCAACGUGAUACUAUAGCAAUGUAAAUUUUCAUUUUUGACGAAUUUUUGUACACUUUUAACUGAAAAUCAGACGUUGUCGAAACGUGUACUUAUUUCAUGCAUAUCAUUAAUUUGCGGACUCGUGCAAUUUUGAUCGUCUCUGAAAAACGCGCUCGUGCAGUUAAUUUUCAAAUCUCUCUCGAAACCUUACUAUCAACCCACGGUACUAAUUAAACGAUAAGUCAUUGCGCUUUACGCUUUUAGUUUUGUGGUUCAACAAUUGCUGGACUGAGUCUCUUGUCACCAUCAAUAAUGCGGUUUCGUCACGAGAGCUUCAAGCGUGUUACAAUAGAUGCUCUCCUCUCUCGGCGAUCUCUAUA